UGACUAUGCAUAAGAAAUUACUAAUGAAUUUGAUCCUAUAAUUUUUGAUUCAUACGGAUAGUUUAUAAAACUAUUAUAUGAAUAAAUAUUAUAGCACCUUAAUUAAAUUGAUCGAUAUACUGAUAACUAAGGGAUCUGAAAAAGUUUAGAGAUAUAUACCUAGAGAACCUAGAGAAAUAUUUACAUACCUUUGGAAGGUAUGUCGAAAUUGCUCAAAAUGGAUCUUAUAAUUUUUUCUUUUUCAUUAGACUCUAGUGCAUAUUACACACUUUAAUAUAAGGUCUAA
rnacentral:lncRNA from 1 species